UACGGGGGGGGCAAGCGUUGUUCGGAAUUACUGGGCGUAAAGGGCUCGUAGGCGGCUGUGUAAGUCUGCUGUCAAAGAGCAAGGCUCAACUUUGUAAAGGCAGUGGAAACUACACGGCUAGAGUGCGUUCGGGGCAGAGGGAAUUCCUGGUGUAGCGGUGAAAUGCGUAGAGAUCAGGAGGAACACCCAUGGCGAAGGCAGCUCGCUGGGACGUUACUGACGCUGAGACGCGAAAGCGUGGGGAGCGAACAGG
rnacentral:rRNA from 1 species